rnacentral:lncRNA from 1 species
GGACGACUCUGCCUGCAGAGUCACCCAGGGGACACCGCAGCUGCCCAAAGCCCUGGGCAUCCAACCACCCAGCUGCUCCAGAGAGGAACAAGGGGCGUCCCAGCACGACGACAGGGCCAGCCAGGACUGGGAUGUAGUGAAGGCCGGGCAGAUGAUGACAGCCAGCCCCAGCCCUGGCCCUGGGCCCAGAGUGGCCCAGAAACCAGUAAUUCAUCACAGUCCCAUGGGCAUGCCCAGAUUAACAGCUGUGGAGAGAUAGGAGCGACAGCGAGCUACGUGCAGUUCCAGCUGCACCACAUCUAACCCCACUCCUUUCUCUGCCAAAGAGGGCACGUGAG